rnacentral:tRNA from 1 species
GGAGGUAUGGCUCAAGGGGUAGAGCUCCUGCUUAGCCUGGAAAGUCCUAAGUUCAAAUCCUAGUACUACCA